CAAACAACUCUGAAUUACUGAUCCCAUGAAAACCAACACAAAUGUAACCCUGUAUUUUUUAUUACUACAAUCUCAAUCGAUGCAAACAUAGCUCUAAGUUUCUGCAAAAGUUUUGGAAAUUGGGAAUUUUUGCGACGAAGAACUUGGAAUUGAAAAUCUCAAAGAGAAAUUGAGAGAUCUGAUGGGGUAUAGCAGGAUAUACUCUACUUCUUCGAAAUUUCAAUUUCUCCAAAAAAAUUUCUCCUAAUCCUAUCACUCUCUUCCAAUCUAACUAAGAAACUUCUGUCACCAGCAACACCCUCCUCCACCGCUGCCAUUACCACCAGCAACGUCAUUGCCACUAAUUUCAUAACCAGCUAAUCAAAUUAAGGCAUCUACAAGAAGAAUCAAACGAAGUAACAUAAGAAAUUUUGGGUAUGAGUUUCAUAUUUUUUAUGGUUUUAUUGUUUUAGUUUUAAUCAUUUCAGUUAUUCAUUCAUUUUCAAGGUUAGGUGUGAGUUCCAGAUUUUUUAUGAUUUUGAUAAUUUUAUUUGAGUUUUGGAUAUGAAAUCACAAAAUUAAAUCCCCUAAUUUUCUGUUUGGGGUUUACUGUUCCAAUUAUUUGCCAUGCUUCUAAUUGUUUGUUGAAAUGCCUGAUAAAAAAUGAUCUUCAGCUUUGCUUUGGUUCUUAAAGAAGCCAUGUGGUUUUAUAAAAAGUAAUAUCUGACUUUCGGUUGCGCAUCAUAGGUAUUGAACCAAGAGUCUACAGUAUUGGAGCUUUAACAUGGUUUAGGAGUCCUGACGAGGGUUACAUGACAUUCUUAUUGAAUUUAUUAAUCUCAGCUUGCAAAUUAUUAUCACUAAAAAGUAAAGGGAAAUUGACAUUUUUUUUUUGUAUCUAAAUUUGGUUGUUUUUCUAUCCAUUUUCUUUCAAGAAGUAUUGAGCCAUUUUGAAUUUAGAGUACUAAGUUUUGGAAUUUCAGACAUGGGAUUCCGGGUACAGCUCUAUCUGCCGAUAAAAGCUUUGUCAGUAUGUUUAAAUCGUAACUCACUCUCGACCACUCUCACAAACACACCCUGUCAUAGUGUUGUUUACUUAAUUCUUCAAAAUCGGUUUAAUCCAAAUAUGUGUCUCUCUUGGACUCCAGACUCCAACAACCAUUGCUUGGACUGUGAUCAUGUUGGAGAAUAGCAGUGUGAACACAAUAUAAGCUGCACCGACCGGACAUAUGCAUCCUGCAUACUUGCACCACAUCUCUCUUAACCUUUUGUUUCCCGUAUAACUGUAAUCGCCUUGCUAUUCUUUUAUGCUUGAUAAUUUCGGGGUACUUGCAUCCCCCUGUUUGAAGUUUAAAGCCACUAGAAUGAUUGAAUUGAUAGCCUGUACAGUAUUUUGAUAAGAUCAAGCCCAGUAUCGAUUUGUUUAUCGGUUUUUGUUGUCAAUUAGUAUUCUCUACUGCUUAUGCCAAUGCACUGUG